GACGAACGCUGGCGGCGUGCUUAACACAUGCAAGUCGAACGGAAAGGCCCUGCUUUUGUGGGGUGCUCGAUUGGCGAACGGGUGAGUAACACGUGAGUAACCUGCCCUUGACUUUGGGAUAACUUCAGGAAACUGGGGCUAAUACCGGAUAGGAGCUCCUGCUGCAUGGUGGGGGUUGGAAAGUUUCGGCGGUUGGGGAUGGACUCGCGGCUUAUCAGCUUGUUGGUGGGGUAGUGGCUUACCAAGGCUUUGACGGGUAGCCGGCCUGAGAGGGUGACCGGCCACAUGGGGACUGAGAUACGGCCCAGACUCCUACGGGAGGCAGCAGUGGGGAAUAUUGCACAAUGGGCGGAAGCCUGAUGCAGCAACGCCGCGUGCGGGAUGACGGCCUUCGGGUUGUAAACCGCUUUCGCAUGUGACGAAGCGUGAGUGACGGUAAUGGGUAAAGAAGCACCGGCUAACUACGUG
rnacentral:rRNA from 1 species